GUAAGUGAGGGAAAAUUGGCUGUGACAUCUAUCACUCCAUCACCUGCCAGGCAGAUUCAGCUGACAUGGCUAAGUGGUGUCUCCUUUCUCCCUCACUACUUCGGUGACUGAGUUUCAAAGCUCAGUUGAUAAGGAUGACUUUUCCUCAUAGAUAAGAAUGCCCAUCGUGAAGGGCAUAUGAGCAGCUGAACUCCCCUGUUAGAACCUCCAAACACACCCUGUGGAGGUGCUGUCAUGCUUACUGCAUUCCGGACCC
rnacentral:snRNA from 1 species